UACGUAGGGUGCAAGCGUUAAUCGGAAUUACUGGGCGUAAAGCGUGCGCAGGCGGUUUUGUAAGUCUGUCGUGAAAUCCCCGGGCUCAACCUGGGAAUUGCGAUGGAGACUGCAAGGCUAGAAUCUGGCAGAGGGGGGUAGAAUUCCACGUGUAGCAGUGAAAUGCGUAGAGAUGUGGAGGAACACCGAUGGCGAAGGCAGCCCCCUGGGCCAACACUGACGCUCAGGCACGAAAGCGUGGGGAGCAAACAGG
rnacentral:rRNA from 1 species